rnacentral:rRNA from 1 species
CCCGAGCCCGCGUCUUACCAUGCAGUCAGGGAGAACGGGGUAGCAAUAUCCCUAGUAAACCGGCGAACGGGUGCGUAACACGUAGGCAACCUUCCUCAAGGACGGGAAUAACCCCGGGAAACCGGGGCUAAUACCCGAUAUGAUACGAUUGCAGCAUUGUAAUUGUAUAAAAGGCCCCACAAGGGCGCCGUGAGAUGGGCCUGCGUCCCAUUAGAUAGUUGGCGGGGUAAUGGCCCACCAAGUUAACGAUGGGUAGCUGGUCUGAGAGGACGAUCAGCCACACUGGAACUGAGACACGGUCCAGACUUCUACGGAAGGCAGCAGUGAGGAAUAUUGCUCAAUGGGCGAAAGCCUGAAGCAGCGACGCCGCGUGAGGGAUGAAAUCCGUUAGGAUGUAAACCUCUUUUGCGAGGGAAGAAUGACCCGAUGAAUCGGGUAGGGACUGUACCUCGUGAAUAAGCACCGGCUAACUACGUGCCAGCAGCCGCGGUAAUACGUAGGGUGCGAGCGUUGUCCGGAAUUACUGGGUGUAAAGGGUCCGCAGGCGGGGAGAUAAGUCGACGGUGAAAUUCUGCAGCUCAACUGCAGACCUGCCGUUGAUACUGUCUCUCUUGAGUUCGAGAGAGGAUAAUGGAAUUCAUGGUGUAGCGGUGAAAUGCGUAGAUAUCAUGAAGAACACCGAUUGCGAAGGCAGUUAUCUGGCUCGACACUGACGCUCAGGGACGAAAGCGUGGGUAGCAAACAGGAUUAGAUACCCUGGUAGUCCACGCCCUAAACGAUGGAUGUUCGGUGUCGGUCCCGCUCGGGAUUUCGAGAGAAGUUUCGAGCGGGGCCGGUGCCUGAGCUAACGCGUUAAACAUCCCACCUGGGGAGUACGAUCGCAAGGUUGAAACUCAAAGGAAUUGACGG